rnacentral:rRNA from 1 species
AGUGAACGCUGGCGGUAGGCCUAACACAUGCAAGUCGAACGGCAGCACAGUAAGAGCUUGCUCUUACGGGUGGCGAGUGGCGGACGGGUGAGGAAUACAUCGGAAUCUACUUUUUCGUGGGGGAUAACGUAGGGAAACUUACGCUAAUACCGCAUACGACCUACGGGUGAAAGCAGGGGAUCUUCGGACCUUGCGCGAUUGAAUGAGCCGAUGUCGGAUCAGCUAGUUGGCGGGGUAAAGGCCCACCAAGGCGACGAUCCGUAGCUGGUCUGAGAGGAUGAUAAGCCACACUGGAACUGAGACACGGUCCAGACUCCUACGGGAGGCAGCAGUGGGGAAUAUUGGACAAUGGGCGCAAGCCUGAUCCAGCCAUACCGCGUGGGUGAAGAAGGCCUUCGGGUUGUAAAGCCCUUUUGUUGGGAAAGAAAAGCAGCAGGUUAAUACCCCGCUGUUCUGACGGUACCCAAAGAAUAAGCACCGGCUAACUUCGUG